ensembl:snRNA U6 U6 spliceosomal RNA
GUGCUCGCUUUGGCAGCACAUAUACUACAAUUGGAAUGAUACAGAGAAGAUUAGCAUGGCCCUUGCUCAAGGAUGACACGCAAGUUCGUGAAGCAUUCCAUAUUUAA